UACGAAGGGGGCUAGCGUUGCUCGGAAUCACUGGGCGUAAAGCGCACGUAGGCGGAUUGUUAAGUCAGGGGUGAAAUCCCGGGGCUCAACCCCGGAACUGCAUUUGAUACUAUUGGUCUUGAAUGUUGUGGAGGUGGGCGGAACGGGUCAUGUAGCGGUGAAAUGCAUAGAUAUGACCCGGAACACCGAUUGCGAAGGCAGCCCGCUACGCAACGAUUGACGCUGAGGCACGAAAGCGUGGGGAUCAAACAGG
rnacentral:rRNA from 1 species